rnacentral:rRNA from 1 species
GCGAAUGCUGACAUAAGUAACGAUAAAGCGGGUGAAAAGCCCGCUCGCCGGAAGACCAAGGGUUCCUGUCCAACGUUAAUCGGGGCAGGGUGAGUCGACCCCUAAGGCGAGGCCGAAAGGCGUAGUCGAUGGGAAACGGGUUAAUAUUCCCGUACUUGGUGUUACUGCGAAGGGGGGACGGAGAAGGCUAUGUUGGCCGGGCGACGGUUGUCCCGGUUUAAGCGUGUAGGUGUGUGUUCCAGGUAAAUCCGGUUCACUUUAACACUGAGGCGUGACGACGAGGCACUACGGUGCUGAAGCAACAAAUGCCCUGCUUCCAGGAAAAGCCUCUAAGCAUCAGGUAACAUCAAAUCGUACCCCAAACCGACACAGGUGGUCAGGUAGAGAAUACCAAGGCGCUUGAGAGAACUCGGGUGAAGGAACUAGGCAAAAUGGUGCCGUAACU